rnacentral:rRNA from 1 species
UACGUAGGGUGCGAGCGUUAUCCGGAAUUAUUGGGCGUAAAGAGCUCGUAGGCGGUUUGUCGCGUCUGCCGUGAAAGUCCGGGGCUCAACUCCGGAUCUGCGGUGGGUACGGGCAGACUAGAGUGAUGUAGGGGAGACUGGAAUUCCUGGUGUAGCGGUGAAAUGCGCAGAUAUCAGGAGGAACACCGAUGGCGAAGGCAGGUCUCUGGGCAUUAACUGACGCUGAGGAGCGAAAGCAUGGGGAGCGAACAGGA